AUACGAAGGGAGCGAGCGUUGUUCGGAUUUACUGGGCGUAAAGGGCGCGUAGGCGGGUUUGUAAGUCGAAUGUGAAAACUGUGGGCUCAACCUGCAGACUGCAUUCGAAACUGCAUGCCUUGAGUCUAGGAGAGGAGAGCGGAAUCGGCAGUGUAGCGGUGAAAUGCGUAGAUAUUGCCGAGAACACCGGUGGCGAAGGCGGCUCUCUGGUCUAGUACUGACGCUAAGGCGCGAAAGCUAGGGGAGCGAACGGGAUUAGAAACCCCAGUAGUCC
rnacentral:rRNA from 1 species